GAGCCGGUGUGGCAUAGUGGUUUGAAUGUUGGACUGCAACUCUGGAGACCAGGGUUUGAUUCCCUGCUUGCUCA
rnacentral:tRNA from 1 species